AUCUAUAGACAGCAUCUGUGGCAUGCUGUCUAUUACCACAGAAAAUAACUUAGACAUGUUUAAAAUAAUGUGCUUCACCUCCAGAUGGAGGUGGUUUUAUUUCCUGCCAACAUUUACCAACAACUGAUUUAAGAUACUAUGGUUUCAAAGCAGCUUUACAGAAAAAAAUGCAUGUUUCUACAUUACAAUUGAGAAUAAUCUGUAAUCAGACUUUUGAGAUUGUAGGAAAAACAGGCAUGUUGAAAAAAGAAAAAAACAUUGAUCAAUGGGGGGCAGUGUGGUUCAACAAAUUUCAGCCUUCUCGCAAUCAUUCUUCAUCACUGUAUCUGUGAUGCAAAUAAAAAGCAUGUACAAUUUGAGUUGCACAUCAGUUCUGAUCUUUAUGUGCAACUUUUUUUUUUCAGGUUUCACCAUUUGAGAACUGAUAGAGCUCACAUUAUUUCCUCCCGCUUGUGCUUAGCAAGAAACACUUUAUAAAAAGAGCUAAAAUGAUAAACACUUUCCUUAGCAUAUCUGUGUAUCUAAUGAUGAUAACAGCUGCCUGUCUUGGUAAAACUGUUCACCAGACGCCUGAUCAUCACUUGAAGAAUCAAGAUGAAUCUGCUGUGAUCACAUGCUCUCACAAUAUACAGAGCUAUAACCAAAUAUUAUGGUACAAACAAAGUCAAGACUUAUUGGGCCUCAAGUUGAUGGGAUACCUUAAUGUUAGGACUGAGAACAAAGAGCCUGAAUUCACAAACAAGAUCAAAUUGGAGGGAGAUGCACAAAAAAAUGGAACUCUGACUAUCAAGAACCUCAUGCUGAAUGACAGUGCAGUGUAUUUCUGUGCAGCA